UACGUAGGGGGCAAGCGUUAUCCGGAUUUACUGGGCGUAAAGAGCGUGUAGGUGGUUGCGUAAGUUGGUUGUGAAAUCUCCCGGCUCAACCGGGAAACUGCAAUCAAAACUGCGCGGCUAGAGUGGCAGAGAGGAAAGUGGAAUUCCCGGUGUAGUAGUGAAAUGCGUAGAUAUCGGGAGGAACACCAGCGGCGAAGGCGACUUUCUGGCUGCCAACUGACACUGAGACGCGAAAGCUAGGGGAGCGAACGGG
rnacentral:rRNA from 1 species